UAAACCGCACUCACGGGAACGCUUGUGGACUGGGGGGGGCCUGCGUCUGCCCCGCAGACUGUGAGGAGCGCUGUCACCACUGGGGUCGCUGUCAAGGCCUGGCCUGGGACCUUCAGCGAAACAGCUCAUGUCUGUCUGCACAUUGCGCCUCCUUUGUCCACUGCUGUUAACAUUGUGUCAAAUGGUAAAGUGACAAUAAAGGUGUUAACUGUGGCCCUCCGUUAUCCUCAGUGUCUGAACCAGCAGUCACACACAGGCACUAACAACCCGAGAGACGCUCAUGUCACUUCACCCGAGCGAGACAGCCUUCGCUUCCUCAAAUAGGCGGCCCCUGACCCGACCUCACCCAGAGCCAGUGGGCCGGCCCUCUGCUGUGUCCGAGGCCUGGUCUCGUCCGGUGCAGCCACACCACGUUACAAACAAGCACAGCAGCCCCCAAAAGGCAGGGACGACAUCAUCAGGUAACUGCCAGCCUGACAGCCCAGCCCAGCCCGUGAAAGUUUUCAAAAACGGGGAGAAGAUGAAGGCAUUUUAAACAAUACCAGAGAACUCCCACCAGGAGACAUCAGUAGAAACUCUAAAUGCAGGAGGAAAGUGAUCACAGAUGGAACGUCGGACGUGGGAGGAAGGAAAGUGGAGCAAAGCAUGAAUACAUGGCUAAAAACAGAAAGGUGAAAGCGGAAACUGAAAAUGAAGAGAAGGACUUGAAGACCAAGGCGGGUUCUCUGGAAGGACUGACCCAGCUCACGAGCUUCUGGGGGAGCGGACGAGGAGCACGAGGAAGACGACGAGCCACACAGGGUCACUGAGAGGACCACCGUGUCCACGGCUGGCAGAGCAAUGGCCUGAUUCUAGAAAAGACCCAAGACUGAAGUAUUUCCAAUUCCUGGUCAAGUAUAAAGGACUCUUAAUGAUUCUGACAUUGUAACAGUAACAACUGAAAGUCCUGAUUUUUGAAUAUUCUCGACCACUUUUAAGUUUAGAAGGCUUUUUGCAGAGAAGGUGCUGCUGUAUCCUACUGAUUCGAUCAUCUCCAAAUUGCCCUGCUGGUGAGCAAUGACCCGUUAGCAAUGACUCAAACGCAUCUGUGGUAUCACGAGAACUGGGCGAAAGCAGGGCCGCUUUCCCCUGAGGUCCCAGGACCAGCCCCUGCGGGCAGCAGCCCGUCUGCUUGGACCUGACACAGCCCCUGGCAAGGUGGACACCGCCCCAUCCACACCAACCCACAGGGCCAGCUCCUAGUGACCCGCCAGGCGGCCCCGUCAGGUCCAGGCAGUGAUCUCACCUCGCCGGCCAAUCCCUGUACUCGUGGCUGCGUCACCUCCCUGCCUCUGCCCACCUCGGUCAGGCCCGUCCUCAGGAGCCCCUGCCCUGUGACUUGUGCCCGUAAUGGGCCCACAGGGUCUGUGGCCUUCAACCCUGAAAGGUCACAGCCUGGCUCCACCUAUGACCAGAGUGCACCCAAAUCCGGGGAGAUGUGGUGGCCUCAGCCAAGGAGAGAGAGAGGACAAGCGAGGACAGUGGAGGAAAGGGCAGGGUGUGGGUGCUGGCCGCAGGCACUGGGGCUCACACAGCCGCACCCCAACAAAGCCCAGAUAAAGCCGUCCUUGCCUCAGUCAGCAGCCCGCCUCCCCCCGAGGCAACUUCCUGUCUGUACAGCCUCCACCCAGUUUCCAGGACACAAUUCUCUAAAGAAAACCUGAGGUCCUGCCUUGACAACACCCACACCCCCAGUUCCCUUCUCACCUCCACCAGAGCCCCCCAGGGACUAAAGGUGGCAUCUCCGUGUUGCUCAGUGAACAGACACGACCAUGCUGAGGGGACAGCACAAGCCAAGGCCCAGGGCCCUCGGGACAUAGGCUCGCGUCACUGACCAGCGUCCCUCACGUGCCCCUCCCCUCA